rnacentral:sRNA from 1 species
GCCAAGUGCGGUGGCGCACACCUGUAAUCCCAGCUGCUCAGGAGGCUGAGACAGGAGAAUCAUGAGUUCAAAGCCAGCCUCAGCAAUGGGCGAGAUCCUGUCUCUA